rnacentral:pre_miRNA from 1 species
GGCAUGGAAUCUUGCAGCAUCCUUGAGACCACCUUCAACUCCAUCAUGAAGUGUGAUGUGGACAUCUGCAAAUACCUACAUGCC